rnacentral:rRNA from 1 species
GAUGAACGCUAGCGGCAGGCCUAAUACAUGCAAGUCGAACGGGAUCCAGAUCAAAGCUUGCUUUGGUUUGGUGAGAGUGGCGCACGGGUGCGUAACGCGUGCGCAACCUACCCUUGUCAGGGGGAUAGCCCGGCGAAAGUCGGAACAAUACCGCAUGACAUCAUUGAGAGGCAUCUUUCGAUGAUCAAAGAUUUAUCGGACAAGGAUGGGCUCGCGUGACAUUAGCUAGAUGGUAAGGUAACGGCUUACCAAGGCUACGGUGUCUAGGGGCUCUGAGGGGGGCAUCCCCCACACUGGUACUGCGACCCGGACCAGACUCCUACGGAGCGCAGCAGUAAGGAAUACUGAUCGAUGGACGGAAGUCUAAACCAGCCAUGCCGCGUGCAGGAAGACGGCCCUAUGGGUUGUAAACUGCUUUUAUACGAGAACAGUCGUCGGUACGUGUACCGGUCUGAGUGUACCGUAAGAAUAAGGAUCGGCUAACUCCGUG